rnacentral:misc_RNA from 1 species
CGCAUCUUGCGCUCCUUGGUAUUCCGAGGAGCAUGUCUGUUUGAGUGUCAUUAAAUUCUCAAUCACCUGUAUUGUUGCUGGUGAAUGGACUAUGGGAGCUUGCUGGCCUUGUCAGCUCUCCUUAAAAGUAUUAGCCUGGCAAUAUAUGCCAUUUGGUGUUGGGGGUAUGAUAAUAUCUAUACUCUGUCCACCAGUUGUGCAGGCCUGCUUCUAACACAGUAGUCGUCUUUUGAUGACUUCCCUUGACCAAUUUGACCUCAAAUCAGAUAGGACUACCCGCUGAACUUAA